CACAACACCCCCCCCCACCCUCCCACUGUGAACCUGAAUUGAAUAUUCAGAAGACAUUUGUUUAAAUAGUUCUAGAAAUCUGAGCUGUUGGUGUGGUAAUAAUAUUAGAGCUGGCAAUCUUUCCUACUGAAUCUCUACUCUGAGUCAUGUUAACUGAGAUUAAUUCUAUGUUUACCUGACAGCCUGGACAAAUGUGCUGUGUGAAGGAUGUAAAUGAAAUCAGAUCUUAACUGCUUACAUUUAAGGAGCCUGGUCAUAUUUAAUUGUAAUAUGAACCAAUGAUUUUUUGAUUGCUGAUUCUAAGAGAGUCUUUGUGGAAAUCCUGUUUGGCUUUUUGUCAUUUUAAUUCUCUUUUCUGUUUUCCAGAACAGUUCUCCACAGUCACUGUCCACAUGGGUCAGUGGGACCAAGAAGCACUCUGCUAAUGUGAGACUCUGAUCAGCAACAUCCAGCAACAUCCAGCAAGACCCAGGCAGCGUUUUCUAUCUCCCAGCUGGAGUUUUUUGUUUGUGACGGGAGAGUCAGAUUUUUGUUGAGGCUGGAGGAACAGCCUCACACUUGCAGAGGUUAAUACACUCUACUGAUCCCUGAUGGGAGAAUCAUCACCUCUGCCAACAAAGAAGCCUGGUGGAUGUUUGUUUACAGACUGAUGAUGGGACAUCAUGCUCUGCAUCUUCAAAGUUUGUCUCUUGAUUAUUAUUCAUACACAGUAAUGUGAAUUAUGCUCAUAUCUAGUAUAACUGGACCAACCUGGUGCUCUUCAUUUAUGGAGGCUGUUGAGUCUGAAUGUUGGAUGUUGUGUAUCUCAUGUUCUCUGGGCUUUGUUGUCCUCAGUCUUUUUGCAGGAUCAGAAAACAAAACCAGGAGGCCUGUAAAUGUUUCUUCUCCAAUUGGAUGAUGAUAAGACUGUGACACGGGAUGCCACUUUUAGUCUUGUGAUGAAGCAAAGCUCAGGAAGAAGUGGGAUUAAAUGGUACCCACAUGUGUGCUGCUGAGAAGGAUGUACAGGGGCACCUGCAGCCAAAUCCAAGCCUCCUCAGCAACUUCAAGUCUGUCAGCGUGCUGAGGUCACAGAAACAAGAAAAGCAGCUUG